GACGAACGCUGGCGGCGUGCUUAACACAUGCAAGUCGAGCGGUAAGGCCCUUUCGGGGGUACACGAGCGGCGAACGGGUGAGUAACACGUGGGUGACCUGCCCUCAGCUCUGGGAUAAGCCUGGGAAACCGGGUCUAAUACCGGAUAUGACUCCAUGACGCAUGUUGUGGGGUGGAAAGCCUUGUGCGGCUGAGGAUGGGCCCGCGGCCUACCAGCUUGUUGGUGGGGUGAUGGCCACCAAGGCGACGACGGGUAGCCGGCCUGAGAGGGCGACCGGCCACACUGGGACUGAGACACGGCCCAGACUCCUACGGGAGGCAGCAGUGGGGAAUCUUGCGCAAUGGGCGAAAGCCUGGCGCAGCGACGCCGCGUGAGGGAUGACGG
rnacentral:rRNA from 1 species